rnacentral:rRNA from 1 species
GACGAACGCUGGCGGCGUGCUUAACACAUGCAAGUCGAGCGGUAAGGCCCUUUUGGGGGUACACGAGCGGCGAACGGGUGAGUAACACGUGGGUGACCUGCCUUCAGCUCUGGGAUAAGCUUGGGAAACUGGGUCUAAUACCGGAUGUGACUGUCUGCCGCAUGGUGGGUGGUGGAAAGUUCUCGGGCUUUGGUCUGGGUUCGGCUGGGGAUGGGCCUGCGGCCUAUCAGCUUGUUGGUGGGGUGAUGGCCUACCAAGGCGACGACGGGUAGCCGGCCUGAGAGGGCGACCGGCCACACUGGGACUGAGACACGGCCCAGACUCCUAUGGGAGGCAGCAGUGGGGAAUAUUGCGCAAUGGGCGGAAGCCUGACGCAGCGACGCCGCGUGGGGGAUGACGGCCUUCGGGUUGUAAACCUCUUUCGCCAUCGACGAAGGUUCUGUGGUUGUGAGGCUGCAGGGUUGACGGUAGGUGGAGAAGAAGCACCGGCCAACUACGUGCCAGCAGCCGCGGUAAUACGUAGGGUGCGAGCGUUGUCCGGAAUUAUUGGGCGUAAAGAGCUCGUAGGCGGUGUGUCGCGUCGGCCGUGAAAACCUGCAGCUUAACUGUGGGCGUGCGGUCGAUACGGGCAUCACUGGAGUUCGGCAGGGGAGACUGGAAUUCCUGGUGUAGCGGUGAAAUGCGCAGAUAUCAGGAGGAACACCGGUGGCGAAGGCGGGUCUCUGGGCCGAUACUGACGCUGAGGAGCGAAAGCGUGGGGAGCGAACAGGAUUAGAUACCCUGGUAGUCCACGCCGUAAACGGUGGGCGCUAGGUGUGGGGCCAUUCCACGGUC